GUGGGGAAUAUUGGACAAUGGGCGAAAGCCUGAUCCAGCCAUGCCGCGUGUGUGAAGAAGGUCUUCGGAUUGUAAAGCACUUUAUGUUGGGAGGAAGGGCAGUAAGUUAAUACCUUGCUGUUUUGACGUUACCGACAGAAUAAGCACCGGCUAACUUCGUGCCAGCAGCCGCGGUAAUACGAAGGGUGCAAGCGUUAAUCGGAAUUACUGGGCGUAAAGCGCGCGUAGGUGGUUUUGUAAGUUGGAGGUGAAAUCCCCGGGCUCAACCUGGGAACUGCCUCCAAAACUGCAUGACUAGAGUACGGUAGAGGGUAGUGGAAUUUCCUGUGUAGCGGUGAAAUGCGUAGAUAUAGGAAGGAACACCAGUGGCGAAGGCGACUACCUGGACUGAUACUGACACUGAGGUGCGAAAGCGUGGGGAGCAAACAGGAUUAGAUACCCCGGUAGUCA
rnacentral:rRNA from 1 species